UACGUAGGGACCAAGCGUUGUUCGGAUUUACUGGGCGUAAAGGGCGCGUAGGCGGCGUGUUAAGUCAGCUGUGAAAUCUCCGAGCUUAACUCGGAACGGUCAGCUGAUACUGAUGUGCUAGAGUGCAGAAGGGGCAAUCGGAAUUCUUGGUGUAGCGGUGAAAUGCGUAGAUAUCAAGAGGAACACCUGAGGUGAAGACGGGUUGCUGGGCUGACAUUGACGCUGAUGCGCGAAAGCCAGGGGAGCAAACGGG
rnacentral:rRNA from 1 species